rnacentral:rRNA from 1 species
AUUGAACGCUGGCGGCAUGCCUUACACAUGCAAGUCGAACGGUAACAGGUCUUCGGAUGCUGACGAGUGGCGAACGGGUGAGUAAUACAUCGGAACGUGCCCGAUCGUGGGGGAUAACGAAGCGAAAGCUUUGCUAAUACCGCAUACGAUCUACGGAUGAAAGCAGGGGACCGCAAGGCCUUGCGCGAACGGAGCGGCCGAUGGCAGAUUAGGGAGUUGGUGGGAUAAAAGCUUACCAAGCCGACGAUCUGUAGCUGGUCUGAGAGGACGACCAGCCACACUGGGACUGAGACACGGCCCAGACUCCUACGGGAGGCAGCAGUGGGGAAUUUUGGACAAUGGGCGAAAGCCUGAUCCAGCCAUGCCGCGUGCAGGGUGAAGGCCUUCGGGUUGUAAACUGCUUUUGUACGGAACGAAACGGUCCUGGUUAAUACCUGGGGCUAAUGACGGUACCGUAAGAAUAAGCACCGGCUAACUACGUGCCAGCCGCCGCAGUAACAC